GUGACCUCAAAUCAGGUAGGACUACCCGCUGAACUUAAGCAUAUCAAUAAGCGGAGGAAAAGAAACUAACAAGGAUUCCCCUAGUAACUGCGAGUGAAGCGGGAAAAGCUCAAAUUUAAAAUCUGGCAGUCUUUUGGCUGUCCGAGUUGUAAUCUAGAGAAGUAUUAUCCGCGCUGGACCGUGUACAAGUCUCCUGGAAUGGAGCGUCAUAGAGGGUGAGAAUCCCGUCUUUGACACGGAUUGCCAGGGCUUUGUGAUGUGCUCUCAAAGAGUCGAGUUGUUUGGGAAUGCAGCUCAAAAUGGGUGGUAAAUUCCAUCUAAAGCUAAAUAUUGGCGAGAGACCGAUAGCGAACAAGUACCGUGAGGGAAAGAUGAAAAGAACUUUGGAAAGAGAGUUAAACAGUACGUGAAAUUGCUGAAAGGGAAACGCUUGAAGUCAGUCGCGUUGGUCAGGGAUCAWCCUUGCUUUUGCUUGGUGUACUUUCUGGUUGACGGGUCAGCAUCAAUUUUGACCAUUGGAAAAAGGUCAGGGGAAUGUAGCAUCUUUGGAUGUGUUAUAGCCCUUGGUUGCAUACAAUGAUUGGGAUUGAGGAACUCAGCACGCCGCAAGGCCGGGUUUUUAACCACGUACGUGCUUAGGAUGCUGGCAUAAUGGCUUUAAUCGACCCGU
rnacentral:rRNA from 1 species